UAGGGAAUAUUAGAAAUGGACGAAAGUCUGAUCUAGCAACACCGCGUGUGCGAAGAAGGCCUUCGGGUUGUAAAGCACUUUUUGGAAGGAUUAGGAAGGAAUGUACUUCCAGAAUAAGUCUCGGCUAACUACGUGCCAGCAGCCGCGGUAACACGUAGGAGGCAAACGUUAUCCGGAUUUACUGGGCGUAAAGCGCGUGUAGGUGGUUCUGUAAGUAGGGCGUGAAAGCUCCUGGCUCAACUGGGAGAGGCCGGGCUAAACGGCAGAGCUAGAGGAUGGUAGAGAGAGGUGGAAUUCCGGGUGUAGCGGUGGAAUGCGCAGAUAUCCGGAGGAACACCAGUGGCGAAAGCGGCCUCCUGGACCAUUCCUGACACUCAGACGCGAAAGCUAGGGUAGCAAACG
rnacentral:rRNA from 1 species